UUGCUCCCUGAUGUUAGCGGCGGACGGGUGAGUAACACGUGGGUAACCUGCCUGUAAGACUGGGAUAACUCCGGGAAACCGGGGCUAAUACCGGAUGGUUGUUUGAACCGCAUGGUUCAAACAUAAAAGGUGGCUUCGGCUACCACUUACAGAUGGACCCGCGGCGCAUUAGCUAGUUGGUGAGGUAACGGCUCACCAAGGCAACGAUGCGUAGCCGACCUGAGAGGGUGAUCGGCCACACUGGGACUGAGACACGGCCCAGACUCCUACGGGAGGCAGCAGUAGGGAAUCUUCCGCAAUGGACGAAAGUCUGACGGAGCAACGCCGCGUGAGUGAUGAAGGUUUUCGGAUCGUAAAGCUCUGUUGUUAGGGAAGAACAAGUACCGUUCGAAUAGGGCGGUACCUUGACGGUACCUAACCAGAAAGCCACGGCUAACUACGUGCCAGCAGCCGCGGUAAUACGUAGGUGGCAAGCGUUGUCCGGAAUUAUUGGGCGUAAAGGGCUCGCAGGCGGUUUCUUAAGUCUGAUGUGAAAGCCCCCGGCUCAACCGGGGAGGGUCAUUGGAAACUGGGGAACUUGAGUGCAGAAGAGGAGAGUGGAAUUCCACGUGUAGCGGUGAAAUGCGUAGAGAUGUGGAGGAACACCAGUGGCGAAGGCGACUCUCUGGUCUGUAACUGACGCUUAAGAGCGAAAGCGUGGGGAGCGAACAGGAAUUAGA
rnacentral:rRNA from 2 species